GGUUUUUCUAUUGGGAUCCAGCCAGGCUUCAUCAUUUCCUGUCUAUCCAGUGAUCCAUCCCAGCCCUCAUAAUCAGCUACUCUGCUGUGACCCACUCCUUGGCUCCUUACCUCAGGCUCAGGAGACCUUGGGGCUGGAAAACAAUGGGUUGUUUCUGUCCUCUUUCUCUGAUUUUCUUCACCCUUUCACAUGGCCCCAAAUGAAUAUUAAUAAUCACAUUUUCUUACUCAGAGAUGUCCAGAUAUGGAAAGAGAAUGUCUUUACUUUGGUUUAAUCAGAUACAAGGACAAGUAGACUUGUGGAUACUGCCCACUUUUGUAAGUGAUCUGAACAGCAAGCUUUGAAGAGCUGAUAGACUGGCAUUUCCUCAAAAGGAUCUCUACAUACAGUGUGAAAAAAAUAAGAGAAGAAAUGGAAGCCUAGAGGCAAGAUGACAGAAGAAACUGUAGUGUUAAUCCAGAUAAGACAUUGAAGAGCUAAACCAGGAUUUUGGUAAGACAGAUGGAGAGAUGUGAAUGGAUCUGAAUGCUACCAAGAAGGUCAAAUUCAACGGUGCUUACAGGCAUACCUUGGAAACAUUGCAGAUUUAGUUCUAGAACACCACAGUAAAGCAAAUAUUGCAAGAAAAUGAAUCACAUGAAUUUUGGGUUUCCCAGCGCACAUAAAAGUUAUGUUUACACUAUACUAUAGUCUAAGUGUGUAAUAGCAUUAUGUAUUUUAAAAGUACAUGCCUUAAUUAAAAAAUAUUUUAUUGCUAAAAAUGCUAUCAUCUGAGCCUUCAAUUAGUUAUAAUCAUUUUGCUGAUGGAGGGUCUUGCCUCAAUGUUGAUGGUUGCUGACUGAUCAGGGUAGUGUUUGUUGAUGGUUGGGGUGGCUGUGGCAAUUUCUUAAAAUAAGACAACAAUAAAGUUUGCCACAUCAAUCAAUUUUUCCUUUCAUAAAUAAUUUGUCUGUAGGAUGCAAUGCUGUUUGGUAGCAUUUUACACACAGUAGAAUUUCUUUAAAAUUGGAGUCAAUCUUCUCAAGCCCUGCCAUUUCCACAGCAGCUACAAUUACUUCCUCCACAGAAGUCUUGAACCCCUCCAAGUCAUCCAAGAGGGUUGGAAUCAACUAUUUCCAAAGUCCUGUUAAUGAUGAUAUCUUGACCUCCUUCCAUGAAUUAAUUACAAUUGUUCUUAAUAUCAUCUAGUUUGGUGAAUCCUUUCCAGAAGGUUUUUAAUUUAUCUUGUCAAGAUCCAUCAGAGGAAUCACUAUCUAUGGCAGUUAGAGUCUUCUGAAAUGUAUUUCUUAAAUAAUAAGACUUGAAAGUAAAAAUUACUCCUUUAUCCAGGGGAUGCAGAAUGAAUGUUGGGUUAGUGGUCAUGAAAGUAACAUUAAUCUCCCUGUACAUCUCUAUCAGAGCUCUUGCAUUGCUAGGCGCAUUGUCAAUGAGCAGUAACAUUUUGAAAGAAAUUUUUUUUUC
rnacentral:lncRNA from 1 species